GGGGAAUUUUCCGCAAUGGGCGAAAGCCUGACGGAGCAAUACCGCGUGAGGGAGGAAGGCUUUUGGGUCGUAAACCUCUUUUCUCUGGGAAGAAGAUCUGACGGUACCAGAGGAAUCAGCAUCGGCUAACUCCGUGCCAGCAGCCGCGGUAAUACGGAGGAUGCAAGCGUUAUCCGGAAUUAUUGGGCGUAAAGCGUCCGCAGGUGGUUUGUCAAGUCUGCUGUCAAAGCGUGGAGCUUAACUCCACACAGGCAGUGGAAACUGAUGAGCUAGAGUUCGGUAGGGGUAGCGGGAAUUCCCAGUGUAGCGGUGAAAUGCGUAGAUAUUGGGAAGAACACCGGCGGCGAAAGCGCGCUACUGGGCCGAGACUGACACUGAGGGACGAAAGCUAGGGGAGCG
rnacentral:rRNA from 1 species